rnacentral:rRNA from 1 species
CCUACGGGUGGCAGCAGUAGGGAAUAUUGCUCAAUGGGGGAAACCCUGAAGCAGCAACGCCGCGUGGAGGAUGAAGGUUUUCGGAUUGUAAACUCCUUUUGUUAGAGAAGAUAAUGACGGUAUCUAACGAAUAAGCACCGGCUAACCCCGUGCCAGCAGCCGCGGUAAUCCGGAGGGUGCAAGCGUUACUCGGAAUCACUGGGCGGAAAGAGCGCGUAGGAGGGAUAGCAAGUCAGAUGUGAAAUCCUAUGGCUUAACCAUAGAACUGCAUUUGAAACUGUUAUUCUAGAGUAUGGGAGAGGUAGGUGGAAUUCUUGGUGUAGGGGUAAAAUCCGUAGAGAUCAAGAGGAAUACUCAUUGCGAAGGCGACCUGCUAGAACCUAACUGACGCUGAUGCGCGAAAGCGUGGGGAGCAAACAGGAUUAGAUACCCUUGUAGUC